AACUGAGUUUAACCCAGUAUAAUUUGAUCAAUAAGGGCCUGACACAUGUCAAUUUUAAAGGGUAGAGAAGUAUAAGGAGAUAAGAUACUGCAGAGCUUUGGCCAAUAUUUGUGAGGAUUCUAGUGAAUGGGAAUGUUGUGUGUGGAUUAAUUUAGUGAAGUGAAGUGAAGUGAUCCUGCUGCACAUGGCUUGUUACUUCUCAAACACUGUCUCUUCUGGUUCUGGAUGGGAGAGAAGCCCUUAUAGCUUGUUUGGGUGGAAUAUAGGCAAGCCAAAACUUGAUGAAGAUCCAAGGCCACAGAUCAAGUACCAUGAUACUACUGAUCUUCCAUUUCUACCUUCUCUUCUGGACAAAACAUUCUUAAAAGUGAUGGAAUCAAGAUCCUCAGGAGUCAGGACCUCCGACCUCAGGUCCUCAGCUAACAAUCUACCAUGGAAUCUCUCUCUCUCUUUCUCUCUCUCUCUCUCCCCCCCAAACCUCAACUCAUACACAAAAGCCAAACUCACAACCAGUGGUAGACUGGUAGCAAACAAAAUCGACAUUAGGCAAAAGGAGAUCUGAGAUUUCUUUGAGGAAAAACAGAGCAGGAAGAAUAAGUGAAGAACAGAGGUCAGAGGAGAUCGAUAGAGCCUGAGAUUCAUACCUUGUUUCAAUCGAUAAGUCCAUAAGCUCGAUCGAAAGUCGAAACGCUAGAGUAGACUGAGGCUGUGAAUCUGUGAUUGUGACAGCAGAGUGGGAGCUGGGAGCAGACGAAGACACGGGACUUCUACAUAAUUUUUUUUUUUUUUCUUUGGGCUGGUAUGGGCUGGUAUACUAAGGGUUUUUAGCCCAAAAAGUUGUCUAGGCUUGAGCCCGUAUAGCCUACCACGUCGUUCCGCCACUGGUUUAUAAUCUCAAGAAUGAGACAACUAAACACAAUUAUACUGAACAAAACCAUCUAUUCUCUUCAAACAUUGUUUGAAUGAUUUUGAGCAGGUAGGGAACUCAAAUGUUGCUAUAAGGCCACCAUUGAUGGAUUUAGUGCAGCUGAUUUCCACAACUGUUGUGACUUCAAGGGGCCAUGUGCCAUAGUUGGCUACACGAACAAGUCCUUCAAGUUUGGUGCAUUCAACCCUGAAGGCUAUAGAAGCACAGAUGAUUACUAUGACAGUUUUGAUCCUGUAGUGACCUCGAUUUUCAAUUUAAUUUCAUAUAUUUUGUGUGAAAUUAAUAAUGUUCAAUUUCACGAAUUUUAGUCUCAAAGACUUGCUCUUUCGGGAUUAUUCGAGAAUCGAAGUAUAAGGAAAUAACAAAAGCUCGAAACGUACGAUUUUAGAAGUUGACUUUUUAUACGUUUCAAUUUUGGGAAAACUUCCUUCACGAAAGUCGUAGAACUCGUCGAUACGAGUCCGUGCGUAUGCGGAGCACAACGAUCGGAUUUUUUUUGAACUAGUUAUGGCAUUUUGAAGUUUUUCGAUUUAGGGUAUAUAUAGAUAAAACCCUAAAUUUCUUUUUGGAAAUUUUUCAUUUUGGACCGGCCUCUUUCUUUUUUUUGGAAAACACUGUUUUCUCUCUCCCCCGUUCUCCCUCGUUCCGGCCGAAAGAACAAAAACAGAGCACGGGCUCCGUGGCCCUUCUCUCCUUCCUCCGGCCACCGUUUGACGCCAAACCACCGCCACUAGCUUCGCCUCGACCCUGCGCAGCUGCUGGAGGCGGCCUUGAGCGGCGACACGGCCGGCAACUGCGGCUGGAAGCUCCGAAUCCGGUUUGGCCCGAUUUUACUCCAAACUCGAUAUCUCGAGCUACAAGCCACCAAAGCUCAUCAAACUUCACCCCCAGGCUCGCCUCAACUUCCUGAAGCUCCCAGAAGUGGCCUUGCACGGCGGCGUGGCCGGUGGUGGUGACUGGAAGCUCAACCCGAUCUAGAUCGAAAACCGGACUGUGGAGCUUGAUAUCUCGAGUUGUAGAGGUCCGUUUUGAGUGAUUCUUGAACUGCCGAACUCACCUAGAGUUGCUGAACAAAUCUCCAGAAGGGAUCGAAGCCAUUGGAGGACGUUUUUACGUCGAACUGGAGCUCACAAAUUUCUGCAGAUUUUUCCGGCCAACCCGACUGUUUUGGUACUUGACGAGUGAGUUGACAAGCGUGUGGAUUAUUGUGAUUUUGAUUUAUAGAAGACGCAGCUGGAUUAGAGCGGUUAUUCCUGCAGGUCAGGAUCACCAGGGCUGAGAUCGAGGCGAGGAGUGCGGGCAACGCUAGGUUCAUAACCGUUUUGUUAGCGUACUGCCAUUCUUUUCGGUAUGCUCCUUGUGGGCAUUUACAUUUGUUAUCCAUUCGUUGGAUUUUUUGUAAACACUAGUUACUAUUUACUCUGAUUUAUUUACUAAGGGUUCUUGAAUAUUAAGUGUUGGUUUAA